AUGCCUCUACCUGGCAGGGGAGAUACCAUGACUGGCGAAGGUGGUUCACCCAGGAAGUAGCCUCAGCCAUUGCACUCCUCGAAGCCAGUGCUGACCUGCACUCCCCAAAUGUGGGAAUCUCGACUGCAUAAUUUGUGGUAGUGGGGACCGCGCCCGUCGCCUCCCCU